rnacentral:rRNA from 1 species
UGAGUAACACGUAUGCAACCUGCCCUCUUCAGGGGCAUAACCUUCCGAAAGGGAGGCUAAUCCCGCGUAUAUCGGUUUCGGGCAUCCGAGAUCGAGGAAAGAUUCAUCGGAAGAGGAUGGGCAUGCGGCGCAUUAGCUAGACGGCGGGGUAACGGCCCACCGUGGCGACGAUGCGUAGGGGUUCUGAGAGGAAGGUCCCCCACACUGGUACUGAGACACGGACCAGACUCCUACGGGAGGCAGCAGUGAGGAAUAUUGGUCAAUGGGAGAGAUCCUGAACCAGCCAAGCCGCGUGAGGGAAGACGGCCCUAUGGGUUGUAAACCUCUUUUGUCGGAGAACAGAACCCGGGACGAGUCCCGGACUGCGUGUAUCCGAAGAAAAAGCAUCGGCUAACUCCGUGCCAGCAGCCGCGGUAAUACGGAGGAUGCGAGCGUUAUCCGGAUUUAUUGGGUUUAAAGGGUGCGUAGGCGGUCCGUUAAGUCAGCGGUAAAAUUGCGGGGCUCAACCCCGUCGAGCCGUUGAAACUGGCAGACUUGAGUUGGCGAGAAGUACGCGGAAUGCGCGGUGUAGCGGUGAAAUGCAUAGAUAUCGCGCAGAACUCCGAUUGCGAAGGCAGCGUACCGGCGCCAGACUGACGCUGAGGCACGAAAGCGUGGGGAUCGAACAGGAUUAGAUACCCUGGUAGUCCACGCAGUAAACGAUGAAUGCUGGUUGUCCGGGUCGAAG